UACGUAGGUGGCGAGCGUUAUCCGGAAUUACUGGGCGUAUAGCGCAAGCAGGCGGUCUGUUAAGUUUGACGUAAAAUCUCCUGGCUUAACUGGGAGGGGUCGUUGGAGACUGGCAGACUUGAGGCGAUGAGAGGGGCAUGGAAUUCCCGGUGUAGUGGUGGAAUGCGUAGAGAUCGGGAGGAACACCGAUGGCGAAGGCAGGUCUCUGGGCAUUAACUGACGCUGAGGAGCGAAAGCAUGGGGAGCGAACAGG
rnacentral:rRNA from 1 species